UCCCUGGAGGACUAGUGGUUAGGCCACAGCACUCUUGCCACUGCAGCCCGGGUUCAGUUCCCAGCCAGAGAA